rnacentral:rRNA from 1 species
CCUACGGGAGGCAGCAGUGGGGAAUCUUGCGCAAUGGGCGAAAGCCUGACGCAGCAACGCCGCGUGCGGGAAGAAGGCUUUCGGGCUGUAAACCGCUUUCAGCAGGAACGAAAAUGACGGUACCUGCAGAAGAAGGAGCGGCCAACUAUGUGCCAGCAGCCGCGGUGAUACAUAGGCUUCAAGCGUUGUCCGGAUUUAUUGGGCGUAAAGAGUUCGUAGGCGGUCGAGUAAGUCGGGUGUGAAAAUUCUGGGCUCAACCCAGAGACGCCACCCGAUACUGCUUAACUUGAGUUCGAUAGGGGAGUGGGGAAUUCCUAGUGUAGCGAUGAAAUGCGCAGAUAUUAGGAGGAACACCGGUGGCGAAGGCGCCACUCUGGAUCGAUACUGACGCUGAGGAACGAAAGCAUGGGUAGCAAACAGGAUUAGAUACCCUGGUAGUCCAUGCCGUAAACGGUGGGCACUAGGUGUGGGAUUCUAUUAACGAAUUCCGCGCCGUCGCUAAACGCAUUAAGUGCCCCGCCUGGGGGAGGUACGGUCGCGAGAACUAAACUUAAAGGUAAAGUUAGUACGGCGUGAGACGUGCCGAACGGACGACGACGAGGGAGGUAGG